rnacentral:rRNA from 1 species
AUUGAACGCUGGCGGCAGGCCUAACACAUGCAAGUCGAGCGGCAGCGGAAAAGUAGCUUGCUACUUUUGCCGGCGAGCGGCGGACGGGUGAGUAAUGCCUGGGAAAUUGCCCAGUCGAGGGGGAUAACAGUUGGAAACGACUGCUAAUACCGCAUACGCCCUACGGGGGAAAGCAGGGGACCUUCGGGCCUUGCGCGAUUGGAUAUGCCCAGGUGGGAUUAGCUAGUUGGUGAGGUAAUGGCUCACCAAGGCGACGAUCCCUAGCUGGUCUGAGAGGAUGAUCAGCCACACUGGAACUGAGACACGGUCCAGACUCCUACGGGAGGCAGCAGUGGGGAAUAUUGCACAAUGGGGGGAACCCUGAUGCAGCCAUGCCGCGUGUGUGAAGAAGGCCUUCGGGUUGUAAAGCACUUUCAGCGAGGAGGAAAGGUUGAUGCCUAAUACGUAUCAACUGUGACGUUACUCGCAGAAGAAGCACCGGCUAACUCCGUGCCAGCCGCCGCGGUAAAAC